UUCCUUCAGCAAGACAUAUACUAAAAGUAGAACAAUACAGAGAUUAUCAUAACCUUUGCAUAAGGAGAGCGUGCAAAUUUGUGAAGCAUUCCAUAUUUUA
rnacentral:snRNA from 1 species